AAGGUUCUAUGGAUCGUAAACCUCUUUUAUAAGGGAAUAAAGUGCGGGACGUGUCCCGUUUUGUAUGUACCUUAUGAAUAAGGAUCGGCUAACUCCGUGCCAGCAGCCGCGGUAAUACGGAGGAUCCGAGCGUUAUCCGGAUUUAUUGGGUUUAAAGGGUGCGUAGGCGGCCUUUUAAGUCAGCGGUGAAAGUCUGUGGCUCAACCAUAGAAUUGCCGUUGAAACUGGGAGGCUUGAGUAUGUUUGAGGCAGGCGGAAUGCGUGGUGUAGCGGUGAAAUGCUUAGAUAUCACGCAGAACCCCGAUGGCGAAGGCAGCCUGCCAAGCCAUGACUGACGCUGAUGCACGAAAGCGUGGGGAUCAAACAGCAUUAGA
rnacentral:rRNA from 1 species